UCUACCUCUACAAGACACUUG
rnacentral:miRNA from 1 species